rnacentral:rRNA from 1 species
AAACUGAAGAGUUUGAUCCUGGCUCAGAUUGAACGCUGGCGGCAUGCCUUACACAUGCAAGUCGAACGGCAGCACGGGUGCUUGCACCUGGUGGCGAGUGGCGAACGGGUGAGUAAUACAUCGGAACAUGUCCUGUAGUGGGGGAUAGCCCGGCGAAAGCCGGAUUAAUACCGCAUACGAUCUACGGAUGAAAGCGGGGGACCUUCGGGCCUCGCGCUAUAGGGUUGGCCGAUGGCUGAUUAGCUAGUUGGUGGGGUAAAGGCCUACCAAGGCGACGAUCAGUAGCUGGUCUGAGAGGACGACCAGCCACACUGGGACUGAGACACGGCCCAGACUCCUACGGGAGGCAGCAGUGGGGAAUUUUGGACAAUGGGCGAAAGCCUGAUCCAGCAAUGCCGCGUGUGUGAAGAAGGCCUUCGGGUUGUAAAGCACUUUUGUCCGGAAAGAAAUCCUUGGCUCUAAUACAG